UCCAUUCAGAAAAGAAAAAGAGGUGGAACACAAAUGCAAAGUGUACAUGGACGGAGUGAGCGCAAAAUGAUCGUACUAAAUGAGUUGCACCAACCCAUUGGUCCUACUGAAGCAAUUGUUAAAGAGUUGGGUAGCUUCCUCGGCACAUUGGCAAGGAAUGGGACCUUUUGUCCUCUUAAUGUGUUUAAGUGGAAGAAAUUGAAGACACAUGAUGAUAUGUGGAACUAUACCUUGGAGAAAUAUGACAUUCCUAAAGUAGCGAAAGAAUGGACUUUGCGAACAAUUCAAAUUGCUUGGAGAAAGUAUAAGAAUGGGUUGAAGAAGAAACACUACUAUCGCUACGCCAAUGACGAACUUUGAAUGGCAAAAAGGCCUAAAGAAGUUUCAGAAUCUCAAUUUAAGGCUCUCCUCGAAUAUUGGAACUCCGAUGCGGCUCAAGACAUGUCCAGAAAAAAUUCAGAGAAUCGAAAAAAGUUGAGGUAUGCACACACUGUUGGCAAAACAAGUUUUGCUAUAAUCCGUGAGGUUUGGUGUUUUCUUGUAUUGUUCAUUUACUAUGAACUUGUUGACUUUACUUGGGAAGAUUUUUAUGCUAUCUUUUAUCUAACUAAAAAAAAAAAAGAAGGAAAAUCCUGAAGCUUUGUCAAGUAAGGAGUUUUUUGUGGCUACUAGAAGAAGGAAACCAGGCCGAUUAUACAAGGACUCAUAUGCAGAUACGACUAGCAAAAUAGUACGAAAUUUUCUAUUUAAAGGUUUAUCGAUAUCAUUUGCUUGUUCUUAAAUAUUGGAUUAGUUUCAUUUACUUGAACUCCCUUCUCUUCAAUCUGAUUUGGAGGCUGAAAUGGAGAGAAUAGAAACUCAAGAAAGUGAAGAUGACAGUCAAUCAGUUGACGCUUAUGUAUCAGUAAUGGGACCUGAUCAUCCAGGUCGAGUAAGAUUGUAUAGACGUGGGGUUACCAAGACUCUCUUGAAAUAGAAAGCAGCAGAUUCUAGACCCUCUUCAAAUGUUACUGAUGAUAUGGAGAAAAAAUGGAGGAGAUAGAAGAGAGGAUGCAACAACGAAUGCAGGAAAAAUUCAAUGCUCAAAAGGAUACCAUGGAAAAAGAUAUUACAAUGAAAGUCAUUGCAAAAAUUCAGCAGCUAAAUCCAGAAUUCCAACUUGAUCCUAAUAUGUUAAGGUUCAGUGUUCGUUUGCCAGGAGAAGCUUCUUCAGCACCUGGUAACAAUCAAGGUGUCGAAAAUGAAGAAAGGGAAGGAGAUAGUGAAGACAUUGAUCUUACUUGAGAAGAUCUUUUAUGAAGAUUUCUACAUGUUCUAAGAAUCUUUUUGCUAUCGAACAUUUUGAAAGUUAUCCUAAAUCUUGAAAUGUAAAACUUAAUUAUGCAUUUUGGGUUGAACAUUUUGCUUUUACGGGUAUAUAUGUUGGAUUAGGAAUGUUGGAUAUUUUGGAUUAUGAAAAAUUGUGUUUUCUGGUUUA